CUGUAGAGGACUCUCAGUUGCUUCAUCAGUUUUCGGCACGGGUCCAGAGUCCAUUGAAUGCCCACCUACUCCAACCUUUGUGAAAUUUCCAGGUACAGGAGAAUGUUCCUGCCACUCUGAGAGAAGGCUUGGAGGAUGGUGUACUUUGACCAUACAUUGAUCAGCUGUUUUGAUGUGGUUGGCACAACUUGCUACCACCUGUGAAAAUGAGGGAACAGCUACCUUUACAGAUUGGGUCAACAGAUUCGGAGUACUAACACCAGAGGCCAAGGGAGUGCCAGAAAAGAUGCUGGCAGCCCUCAUGAAUUGUGGCUGCUAACAGCAGUACCUGUGAACAAGGCUAGCAUAUGGAGUCUCCAUGCAAAGGGAGCUGCAAACCAUGAGAACUGCCCAUUCUCUGGCAUCAUCAGAAAAUCCUGCCACUGUGCCUGCCUACCAAGAAUGAAAUGGACCGGGAAAGAGACAGAGACACCACAACUUUAUUUGAUUCCCUGAAAUUUCAGAGGAGUACCACAAGCCCCUCACCUCUUCACUGCAAAAGACCACCACACUGUGUUUAUCUAGCUUCCAGUUCAGAUCCUUCUCCCACAGCCAUUUCUUCUUGCUUGUGCAACAUGGCUGGGAGUGGGGAUAAGCCAGGGACAGGGAUGGUGAUAAUUUUUGUAAUCUUCCAAGGAAGAAAGGACUUCUGUGACUAACUUUUCCUCAUUAGAUGUGUUCCCUUACCCUUCCCGGACCGAAUUCCACUCCACCCCAACCCCAACCAUUCCACAUGGCUCCCUUUUUUAAGGGGAUGAUAAAAUCAGGAUUGAGGGAAGUGGGUGGGGAAGCACUGAAACCAUGUAAACAUCCAAGGAACAAAAGACAGCUCUUACUAACUUGAGACAGACAACUGUAUGUUUUCUGCAACUGCCCCAUCCUCAAGUAGGACCUUUCUAACCCUGCCACUUCCUUUCCCACCUAGUCCACAUGG